GAGACCUGGCAUGUCGACAUCGAGGAAUUCCUCGAUCUUCGCAAGAACACCGGCGACGACCGCCGCCGCACCCACGACAUGAACACCGCGAACUGGGUGCCGGAUCUGUUCAUGCAGCGCGUCGAGGCUGAUGGCGAAUGGACGCUGUUNACGAGACGCCGGACCUGCACGAUCUUUACGGCAAGGCGUUCGCCGAGCGUUACGCUUUCUAUGAAGCGAAGGCUGCGCGCGGCGAGAUGCGUGUGUUCAAGACGCUGCGCGCCACGGAUUUAUGGCGCCGCAUGCUGACCAUGCUGUUCGAGACCGGACAUCCCUGGAUCACCUUCAAGGACCCGUGCAAUCUUCGUUCGCCGCAGCAGCAUGUCGGCGUCA
rnacentral:misc_RNA from 1 species